rnacentral:tRNA from 1 species
GGUAAAGUGGCUGAGUUUUAGGUAAUAAAUUGUAAAUUUAUUAAGGAGAUGUUUUCUCCUUUACCA